rnacentral:rRNA from 1 species
AUUGAACGCUGGCGGCAUGCCUUACACAUGCAAGUCGAACGGUAACAGGUCUUCGGAUGCUGACGAGUGGCGAACGGGUGAGUAAUGUAUCGGAACGUGCCCAGUCGUGGGGGAUAACUGCUCGAAAGAGCAGCUAAUACCGCAUACGACCUGAGGGUGAAAGCGGGGGAUCGCAAGACCUCGCGCGAUUGGAGCGGCCGAUAUCAGAUUAGGUAGUUGGUGGGGUAAAGGCUCACCAAGCCAACGAUCUGUAGCUGGUCUGAGAGGACGACCAGCCACACUGGGACUGAGACACGGCCCAGACUCCUACGGGAGGCAGCAGUGGGGAAUUUUGGACAAUGGGCGCAAGCCUGAUCCAGCCAUGCCGCGUGCGGGAAGAAGGCCUUCGGGUUGUAAACCGCUUUUGUCAGGGAAGAAAUCUUCUGGGCUAAUACCCUGGGAGGAUGACGGUACCUGAAGAAUAAGCACCGGCUAACUACGUGCCAGCCGCCGCCGUAAAAC